rnacentral:rRNA from 1 species
AGGGUUUGAUCAUGGCUCAGGAUGAACGCUGGCGGCGUGCUUAACACAUGCAAGUCGAACGGAACUCUCUGGAAAGAGGCUUCGGCCAAUUGAAUUUGAGUUUAGUGGCGGACGGGUGAGUAACGCGUGAGUAACCUGCCUUGGAGUGGGGAAUAACAGUUGGAAACGACUGCUAAUACCGCAUAAUGCAUCGGAGUCGCAUGGCUCUGAUGCCAAAGAUUUAUCGCUCUUAGAUGGACUCGCGUCUGAUUAGCUAGUUGGUGAGGUAACGGCCCACCAAGGCGACGAUCAGUAGCCGGACUGAGAGGUUGGCCGGCCACAUUGGGACUGAGACACGGCCCAG